AUAAAACUUUAGGGGUGCCUUCAAUUCUGUAGGCUGAGAAUAUACCCUUUUUAUAGGCGAAAAGGUAAAAGGUAGAAGGUGGAGGGUGAAAAGCCCUAUGCCCUAAACCUUACACCCUAUACCCUAUAAAUGGACCUGAUCCGGAUAAUGCCGGCGUAGGAAAUUAGUUUGUCUGCUGCA
rnacentral:ncRNA from 1 species